CGGCAACAGCUCAAAUUUGAAAUCUGGCCUCUUUCGGGGUCCGAGUUGUAAUUUGUAGAGGAUGUUUUGGGUACCGCGCUGGACCAUAUACAAGUCCUCUGGAAUGGGGUGUCAUAGAGGGUGAGAAUCCCGUCUUUGAUAUGGACUACCAGUGCUUUGUGGUGCGCUCUCGAA
rnacentral:rRNA from 1 species